UUCCACCUCCAUCACUCUUCCUCCAUCACUCUCUCCUCCUGUUCUCUCUGUGUUGUCAUGUGUUGGAUCAGUCUGUGUUGUGGUUCUACUGGUGUUACUGGUUCUGCUGGUGAGACGAUGUGUUCACAGGAAACCUGAAGAUCAAGAAGAAAGUGAAGAAGACGACCUCAUCACUUAUGUCAUCAUUGAGAUAUCAGUUCAUCAAGAACAAUCUGACAAAGAAAGACGAGAUAUUUAUUUUGCAGUAGUGGUCUACUCAGCAGUGAGAAGUGAAGACAUCAGUUAUGGACAAACAACCAUCAGAACAAGCAGGCCCAG